rnacentral:rRNA from 1 species
UUAGGAAUCUUGGACAAUGGGCGCAAGCCUGAUCCAGCCAUGCCGCGUGAGUGAUGAAGGCCUUAGGGUUGUAAAGCUCUUUCAGCGGGGAAGAUAAUGACGGUACCCGCAGAAGAAGCCCCGGCUAACUUCGUGCCAGCAGCCGCGGUAAUACGAAGGGGGCUAGCGUUGCUCGGAAUCACUGGGCGUAAAGCGCACGUAGGCGGAUCUUUAAGUCAGGGGUGAAAUCCUGGAGCUCAACUCCAGAACUGCCUUUGAUACUGGAGAGCUUGAGUCCGGAAGAGGUGAGUGGAACUCCGAGUGUAGAGGUGAAAUUCGUAGAUAUUCGGAAGAACACCAGUGGCGAAGGCGGCUCACUGGUCCGGUACUGACGCUGAGGUGCGAAAGCGUGGGGAGCAAACA